rnacentral:lncRNA from 1 species
UCCCUUCAGAGCCAUUCACCAUGAAUUGUGUUAGCACGAACUUGGGAAAGAUUUCAAGCAUCUAGUUGGUGACUUUGGCCUUAUGUGGUGACCUUCUGGUUGUGAGCAUAUAAUCAUCUUCUGGAAGCUGUAGUACAGAUCUGACUUUUCUGCAUGUUUGCAAAAAUCCUGACUUGUGUUCACCUGACACUCAGAGAAAAGCUACAGCUGUGGGUUAGAGUUCGUGCCUCAUUUCUUGUACUUAGAUCAAACGUAGAUCAAACGUUGUUUUUGACUCUCCAGUAGGGGAAAUAUUUGAUUCCAAUAAUGUUCUAAUUGUUUUUCCUGAUUUAGCGAUUGUAUGGAAUAUGAACACUUCAAAUAAAUAAAACUAUCCAACAACUU